GGGUAAUGAAAUCGCAACAUGCUCUGGGGUAGCAGAUAUAAGGAUGGGGGUUAUAUCUCAUAAGCGUCUAUGAUAGAAUAUUUUUGGAAAGGAUGAAUUCUCAGAGAAGAUGGAGCUGUGAGCUGUGAGCUGCUACCUUCUAUGGCUUCCCAUUCUUCAAAGCCAGACUUCAGUACAAGUCAUUCAUGUUUACAUUCUCACACCUACCUCAAGAAAGAGACCACGAUGGAAACUCCUGUGAUAGAAAAAUAAGAAUGAAAGGAGAGCAGUUGCAGCACACCUGUGUUGGCAAGCUGUCAAACCCUCCAUCUCUGACAUUAAUUGGAUCAUCCACUGAAUGGGGGAACUGAUGGAAAAUGCAAUGCGAGAAGAUGACUGGGGAGAAUAAAUGCUAUCCUGCCUAUCAACAGUGAUGAAAGUGACACCUGAAGAGUUUUCUUUUAUUCCAUGCAAACAGAUGGCUUUAAACGACACAUGCUACACAGUCAGAUUUCUUAUGCUCACCUCUAAGCAUUUAGGCCAGCUUGAACAAUCAAAAAUUAAAAUGUAAACAACA